rnacentral:misc_RNA from 1 species
GAUGAAGAACGCAGCGAAAUGCGAUAAGUAAUGUGAAUUGCAGAAUUCAGUGAAUCAUCGAAUCUUUGAACGCACAUUGCGCCCCCUGGUAUUCCGGGGGGCAUGCCUGUCCGAGCGUCAUUACAACCCUCAAGCUCAGCUUGGUGUUGGGCCCCGCCGCCCCGGCGGGCCCUAAAGUCAGUGGCGGUGCCGUCCGGCUCCGAGCGUAGUAAUUCUUCUCGCUCUGGAGGUCCGGUCGUGUGCUCGCCAGCAACCCCCAAUUUUUUUCAGGUUGACCUCGGAUCAGGUAGGGAUACCCGCUGAACUGAAGCAUAUCAAUAAGCGGAGGA